CACGUAGGGUGCAAGCGUUGUCCGGGAUUAUUGGGCCUAAAGCAUCCGUAGCCGGUCAUGCAAGUCCUCCGUUAAAUCCACCUGCUUAACAGAUGGGCUGCGGAGGAUACUACAAGGCUAGGAGGCGGAAGAGGCAAGCGGUACUCAGUGGGUAGGGGUAAAAUCCUCUGAUCCAUUGAAGACCACCAGUGGCGAAGGCGGCUUGCCAAUACGCGCUCGACGGUGAGGGAUGAAAGCUGGGGGAGCAAACCGG
rnacentral:rRNA from 1 species